rnacentral:lncRNA from 1 species
ACAGGUACGUGGGCGGGCGGAUCGUGGUGGCUGCGCUUGCGAGGACCCUGAGGUAGAUUGGGUGGUUUCAACAGGAACGCAUCCACUGUCUGAGAGUUUAAACUUGAUUUUGUGAGGGGACGAACAGCGUGACAAUUAAAAGAAGAUCUGGGAAUCAAAAGCUUCCUGAGGCCUUCACCAGAAGCAGAUGCUGGUGCCGUGCUUCUACAGCCUGCAGAACUCAUCACCGCUCUUGCACUCCAAGCCAUUAUUAAGUAAAGUAAAGAACACAAACACUGUGAUACUGCUACACUUGAUCUGAUAACCAAGAAGUCUACUAAGUGACUAACAGUUAAUAUUUUUGGACAUGAGGUGACUGCAGUUAACUAAAACCAUGGAAAGCAAACCCAUAGAUAAAGGGAUACUAUGCAGAGCAACUGGGAACCUAAUUCUGACCAAAAAGGAGGAAUUGUUUGGCUAAUUGGAAGUGACAGAAACCUUGGGAGAAAGCAACCGCAUACCAAGGAUAAUUAUAAGAAGAAGAGAAGACAUGGAGAAGAGGAGGGAGUAGUUGUGACCGUGGAGGCAGAGAAUGGAGUAAUGUGAUCAUAAAUCAAGGAAUGCUGACAGCCACUAAAGCUGGAGAAGGCCAAGGACAGAUAUUCAAUCCUCCCGUAGAAGUACAGCCCUGCUAAUGCAUUGAUUUUGGACUUCUGGCCUCAGAACUGUAAGAGAAUAAAUUUCUAUUGUUUUAAGCCUUC